AGUGAACGCUGGCGGUAGGCCUAACACAUGCAAGUCGAACGGCAGCACAGUAAGAGCUUGCUCUUACGGGUGGCGAGUGGCGGACGGGUGAGGAAUACAUCGGAAUCUACUUUUUCGUGGGGGAUAACGUAGGGAAACUUACGCUAAUACCGCAUACGACCUACGGGUGAAAGCAGGGGAUCUUCGGACCUUGCGCGAUUGAAUGAGCCGAUGUCGGAUUAGCUAGUUGGCGGGGUAAAGGCCCACCAAGGCGACGAUCCGUAGCUGGUCUGAGAGGAUGAUCAGACACACUGGAACUGAGACACGGUACAGACUCCUACGGGAGGCAGCAGUGGGGAAUAUUGGACAAUGGGCGCAAGCCUGAUCCAGCCAUACCGCGUGGGUGAAGAAGGCCUUCGGGUUGUAAAGCCCUUUUGUUGGGAAAGAAAAGCAGCAGGUUAAUACCCCGCUGUUCUGACGGUACCCAAAGAAUAAGCACCGGCUAACUUCGU
rnacentral:rRNA from 1 species